rnacentral:rRNA from 1 species
CACGUAGGGCGCGAGCGUUGUCCGGAAUUAUUGGGCGUAAAGAGCUCGUAGGCGGCCUGUUGCGUCCGCUGUGAAAGCCCGGGGCUUAACCCCGGGUCUGCAGUGGAUACGGGCAGGCUAGAGGUAGGUAGGGGAGAAUGGAAUUCCCGGUGUAGCGGUGAAAUGCGCAGAUAUCAGGAGGAACACCGGUGGCGAAGGCGGGUCUCUGGGCCAAUACUGACGCUGAGGAGCGAAAGCGUGGGGAGCGAACAGG